UACGAAGGGGGCUAGCGUUGCUCGGAAUCACUGGGCGUAAAGCGCACGUAGGCGGGUCUUAAGUCGGGGGUGAAAUCCUGGAGCUCAACUCCAGAACCUGCCUUCGAUACUGAGGAUCUCGAGUCCGGGAGAGGUGAGUGGAACUCCGAGUGUAGAGGGUGAAAUUCGUAGAUAUUCGGAAGAAACACCAGUGGCGAAGGCGGCUCACGUGGCCCGGUACUGACGCCUGAGGUGCGAAAGCGUGGGGAGCAAACAGGG
rnacentral:rRNA from 1 species